rnacentral:rRNA from 1 species
AUUGAACGCUGGCGGCAGGCUUAACACAUGGAAGUCGAGCGGGGUGAUGGUGCUUGCACUAUCACUUAGCGGCGGACGGGUGAGUAAUGCUUAGGAAUCUGCCUAUUAGUGGGGGACAACAUCUCGAAAGGGAUGCUAAUACCGCAUACGUCCUAAGGGAGAAAGCAGGGGAUCACUUGUGACCUUGCGCUAAUAGAUGAGCCUAAGUCGGAUUAGCUAGUUGGUGGGGUAAAGGCCUACCAAGGCGACGAUCUGUAGCGGGUCUGAGAGGAUGAUCCGCCACACUGGGACUGAGAAACGGCCCAGACUCCUACGGGAGGCAGCAGUGGGGAAUAUUGGACAAUGGGGGGAACCCUGAUCCAACCAUGCCGCGUGUGUGAAGAAGGCCUUAUGGUUGUAAAGCACUUUAAGCGAGGAGGAGGCUCUUUUGGUUAAUACCCAAGAUGAGUGGACGUUACUCGCAGAAUAAGCACCGGCUAACUCUGUGCCAGCCGCCGCUGUAA